UGACUGUAUGUCAUUCUUCUCCACUCGGUC
rnacentral:sRNA from 1 species